rnacentral:rRNA from 1 species
UGCAGUCGAGCGAGAAGCGGGCUUCGGCCCGUUAGUAGAGUGGCAUACGGGUGAGUAACACGUGGGCAAUCUGCCCGGAGGUGGGGGAUAACUCUCGGAAACGGGGGCUAAUACCGCAUGAUAUCUCGAGGACCCCGGUCCUUGCGAUCAAAGCUAGCCUCUUCUUGAAAGCUAGCGCCACCGGAGGAGCUCGCGGCCCAUUAGCUUGUUGGUGAGGUAACGGCUCACCAAGGCUACGAUGGGUAGCCGGCCUGAGAGGGCGAUCGGCCACACUGGAACUGAGACACGGUCCAGACUCCUACGGGAGGCAGCAGUGGGGAAUAUUGCGCAAUGGGCGAAAGCCUGACGCAGCGACGCCGCGUGGAGGACGAAGGCCUUCGGGUCGUAAACUCCUGUCAAGGGGGACGAAUGUCGUGGGGAUGAAUAAGCCUCACGUUUGACGGUACCUCUGGAGGAAGCCCCGGCUAACUCCGUGCCAGCAGCCGCGGUAAUACG